GAUGGAAGGAGGAGCGCGCGAAAGUAGAGGACGCGCCUGACGAUGGCGGAGGGGUGACAGGUACGGCCGAGUGCUGACCCAGCCUGGAGCUCUGCAUGGAGCUGGGAGUAAAAUGCCGCCGAAGUGAGCAAAAAGGGAGGGAGGAAGAAUUUGCUUUGUCUACGAUGGUAAAUUCUGAGGAAUCUCCCUGUUUAUAUUUUAAUGCCCUUUUUUUUUAAUUUAUCCUUUUCAACUUUAUUUUGCUACCUGCUCUGCCGAGUAAGGGUGGGUGCGCGGCUGUGCAUGAGGCGCGGGCUUUGUUCUCGCUGCUCUGCUGGCCCUUCCCACAGGCGGGGUCAGCAUCCAGAACGUUCCUUGUGGGGGAGGAGGAUUGCAACGCCUGCAGGAAAGCUGCGCUGCAAGAAGUGUUCUCUUCUGUAAUCGUCUUUCUAUUGUGCAACUGUGUCUGUGAAGUAUCAUGGAACUCAUGCAGCGGAUGAAAGAGCUUUUAACUGAUAGAAUCUCAUUUCAGCUGAGAAGAAUACGAAGGAGCUGCUCCUUCAUAUACGACUAAGGACACGUCUGAAUGAGAAACGGUGCCCGAUGCUCGGAGCAACAGGAGUCCACCCCCAGGAAAUCUUGGAGAGAAGUCUGGGUUGGUUUUAGCUGGAUCAGAAGAAUUACAAAGAAAAAUCAAUUUUCCUGACAAAGAGCUGAUUUGAACAAGGGGCCAGAAGACAGAAGUACUGUGAGAAAUUAGUGUUGAAUGGAUCUACAACAGAACACUGCAUCUGCAGAAAAGAAGGUCAUAAUAAUUAGAGAUAUGUGGAAAAAGGCAGUAAUUUAUGUUGGUGUCUGAACUCUUAAAUAAUAUUUAAGGUGAAAAUUGGCCUGAUUUCGAAUGAAAUAUUCUGUGCUCAGAUCUUCUUUCUAAAUGUAAUGUAGCUAAAUAUAGACUCAGAACAUUGUUUCAAAACAUUGUUUUUCCACUUAAGGAAAAAAAAAAAAAAAAAAAAAAAACCUUUUGAGUUCCCUUGUCCUCCUCUCAUUUUCCCUAAAAUUCUGCCAAAUUUAAUCUGCUUUUACAAAGAGAGCUAGGCAUCUUGUAUUUUUGUAUCAAAUAAAUCAUUCACUCUAAAGGUUUUCAUCCAGCUAAUAAUACAAAUGACCAGAACAGACUGUGCUUUAUACCUUCUAACUGAAGGAGUCAUGUUUCUGACUCUGCUGCUAACUACAGAGCAAGGAGCCCCAGACCUGCCUGCACCCAUCCCAUCCCUUGAAUUCAGAGAAAUAAGAAAUUGAUUUUUGCAACAGAUUAGAUGGAUAAGCAAAUUUUUUGUUGUUGUUGUUGCAAUUCCAGACUUCUCCAAAGCUUACUGGAAUUCAUAUUUUACUGGGUUUUUGUGAGGUAUCUCACACAGUUCCCCCUCCCUCGCUGUGCUGGUGGAUUUACACCCAUGGUUCCCAAGCUCAUGAACUUUGCUUUGCCUUAUUUCCCUCAAGUGAUGGAAUUGUGGACAGAUUUUGGAGUCCCAUCACUGCAAUGCAAAAUAAUAUAUUUUCUCCUGCUAAUAAGUGGAAGCCUGAGGAUUAUUUGGGUUGUUUGCUGCCAGAGUGCUGCACUGAAGCUAGGGAUGGGACAGACACUCAUUAUCUAAACCGUUGUUUUCCCCCAUAUUCCUUUCAGCUGUUCUAGAAUUUGUAUUCUAGUUAUACAAAAUAAAAUUCCUGGGCUGACCCUGGCAGACAACACCAGUUUCAAGCCUGCCUUCCACCAUUUUAGUGUGAAAAUGUGGCUGGAAGACAUCCAAAACUCUGAAGGUUUGUUUCUGUGUAAGACGUGUAAUAUCCAGCUGCCUUUGACUGAAUUUAAUGGCGUAUUUGUAUUUGAAAAAAUCAAUAAGGUUUAUGAGCUGAAGAGGGAUCCAGUGUAACCAGAUCUGUCACUUUUAUGGACACCUUCUGCAAUUCCUUGUGACACAGGAAUCAGGCUAUAGAAACCAUCCUACGCGCCCCUGCAAAACAAGAUUUAGUGCUGUAAACCUCACUGGAGCAGCUCAAGGAGAGGUACAAUGAUAGAGAACAAAGGAGAGCACUGAGAAACAACCCACCACUAAUCAGCCUAGAAGGCCAAUAAGAUCUGAUAGGUUUCUGCAAUAAAACUACCCAAAACCUCCCAGUGGAUUUUCAUACAAUAGAAAUCAAAAGGGCACAUUAGUCAUAAGGCAAGAGAGACACCAAGGGAAAACUUCCUGCUGUCAUGCUUUAAACAGCUUUCUUCUUUAGACAAAAUAGCCAUCAUGCAAAGUUCGUAACGAAUAAAAGUUUUCACUCUUUGUUGAGGUCCAGUCCAAGGUCUGUGCAGCAUUUAAGCCAUACUAUUAUGAGGCCAUAAACGGGGCACUAGUUAUAAAUUAUUUCUUAUUGCUAUUGCCUUUGAGACACCAUAAUACAUAAUGAUCUGUCAUCAACAUUUAUAAAAUACUUCUACUGGAGCAGGCGGACUUUAGUUCCUUUUCAGACUAGUCCUGCUGAUUUCAAUCAUGUCUGUGGUUAUAUCAAAGGUUUAAUUUGCUUUUCACUCCACAUUUCUGUACUUUGCUAGAUUAUCUGGAACCUCUCAUCACAGGGAGGGAAGAUAUAGUGAGAAAUGGAUGGAAUCUUUCCCUUUUUCCUCAUGACAAUUUGUGCUGGUCUCUAAAAAUUAUAUGUUGCUUAAGGCAGCAUCACCACAGAGUUCUCCCAGCACAGUGCCUGUGUGUCUUUGCACUGGAGCAUGUGGCUGCUGAAGGACAGGCACUGGAAAUCUUUAUGAAGCUCAUGCUGCACAGCCACGUGUCCAAUGCAGUGCUUUGUUUGGCCUGAGAUAAGAUUUCUUUUCCUUUGAACUUCUGUUAAGUGUUUGCAAAAUAUUCAUUAUUCCUCAAAGAAAGAAUUUCAUACAGUGUCAAUCACUCCUAGUAAGUCUUGUGUUUAUUUGUAAUCCUGUUUUGUUUUAACCUAAAGUCAAAAAUUCACAAAUAUCUGAUGGGAUUAUUAACACAAAACUGCACAAAGUCCUUUCUUUCAUUUCACAUAAUAAGCAUGAAAACUUAUGUGAGAACUGGUCUUCUGUUGAGUUAAAUUUACAUUUUGUGGAACUUACUACAAUGUGACAUAUUUAAGUUUGUAACUACUGUUUCCAAAAUUUCCAAAAGAGAACAGUCUAUUUUAGCAUUUGAUGCCAAUAAAACAAAAAGACUCAUCUUUA